rnacentral:rRNA from 1 species
GUGUCAGCAGCCGCGGUAAUACGGAGGGUGCAAGCGUUGUCCGGAUUUAUUGGGUUUAAAGGGUGCGUAGGCGGGAGUUUAAGUCAGCGGUGAAAGUUCAGGGCUCAACCCUGAAAUUGCCAUUGAUACUGGAUUUCUUGAGUGUCGAUGGGGUACAUGGAAUUUAUGGUGUAGCGGUGAAAUGCAUAGAUACCAUAAGGAACACCGAUAGCGAAGGCAUUGUACUUAUCGAUAACUGACGCUGAGGCACGAAAGCGUGGGUAGCGAACAGGAUUAGAUACCCUGGUAGUCCACGCCGUAAACGAUGAUUACUCGCUGUUAUGCCCUUUGCGGUGUAGUGGCCAAGCGAAAGCGUUAAGUAAUCCACCUGGGGAGUACGCUCGCAAGGGUGAA